rnacentral:lncRNA from 1 species
GCCAUUUUGGUGCAGUUUUGGUGGCAUUAUUUGGUGCCAUUUCAGUGUCAGCACGGUGCAAUUUUGGUGCCAUUUUGGUGCCAUUUUGGUGCAGUUUUGGGGCCAUUUUGGGUCUAUUUUGGGGCCAUUUUGGUGCCUUUUUGGUGCCAUUAUUUCGUGUCAUUUCAGUGCCAUUUUGGUGCCAUCUUGAUGCUGUCCUGGCCCUGUUUCAGUGCCAUUUUGGUGCAGUUUCGGUGCCAUUUUGGUGGCGUUAUUUGGUGUAAUUUUGGUGCCAUUUUGGUGCCAUUUUGGCUCUGUUCUGGCCCUGUUCCAGUGCCAUUUCUGUGCCAAUUUGGUGCCAUUUUGGUGCCAUUUUGGCUCUUUCCUGACCCUGCUUCGGUGCCAUUUUGGUGCAGUUUGGGAGCAAUUUUGGUGGUGUUAUUUGUGUAAUUUCAGUGCUAUUUUGGUGCCAUUUUGGUGCCAUUUUGGUGCCGUUUUGGUGCCAUUUCGGUGUCAUUUUGGUGGCGUUAUUUCGUGUAAUUUUGGUGCCAUUUUGGUGCAGUUUUGGUUCCAAUUUUGGUGCCAUUUUGGUGCUGUUCUGCCACCAUUUUGGUGCCAUUUUGGUGGCAUUAUUUCAUGUAAUUUCCGUGCCAUUUUGGUGCCAUUUUGGCUCUGUCCUGGCCCUGUUUCGGUGCCAUUUUGGUGCCAUUUUGGUGCCAUUUCAGUGGUGUUAUUUGGUGUAAUUUCAGUGCCAUUUUGGUGCCAUUUUGGCUCCGUUUUGGCCCUGUUUUGGUGCCCUUUUGGUGCCAUUUUGGUGCCAAUUUAGUGCCAUUUUGGUGCCAUUUUGGUGCCAAUUUAGUGCCAUUUUGGUGCCAUUUCGGUGGUGUUAUUCUGUGCAAUUUCGGUGCCGUUUUGGUGCCAUUUUGGUGCUGUUCUGCCACCAUUU